AGGGUUCGAUUCUGGCUCAGGAUGAACGCUGGCGGCGUGCCUAACACAUGCAAGUCGAGCGAUUUACUUCGGUAAAGAGCGGCGGACGGGUGAGUAACGCGUGGGUAACCUGCCUCAUACACAUGGAUAACAUACCGAAAGGUAUGCUAAUACAGGAUAAUAUAAGAGAUUCACAUGGAUUUCUUAUCAAAGCUCCGGCGGUAUGAGAUGGACCCGCGUCUGAUUAGCUAGUUGGUAAGGUAAUGGCUUACCAAGGCGACGAUCAGUAGCCGACCUGAGAGGGUGAUCGGCCACAUUGGAACUGAGACACGGUCCAAACUCCUACGGGAGGCAGCAGUGGGGAAUAUUGCACAAUGGGCGAAAGCCUGAUGCAAGCAACGCCGCGUGAGUGAUGAAGGCCUUCGGGUCGUAAAACUCUGUCCUCAAGGAAGAUAAUGACGGUACUUGAGGAGGAAGCCCCGGCUAACUACGUGCCAGCAGCAGC
rnacentral:rRNA from 1 species